UACAGAGGGUGCGAGCGUUAAUCGGAAUUACUGGGCGUAAAGCGCACGUAGGCGGCUUGGUAUGUCGGGUGUGAAAUCCCCGGGCUCAACCUGGGAACUGCAUCCGAAACUGCCUUGCUAGAGUAUGGGAGAGGGAAGUGGAAUUUCCGGUGUAGCGGUGAAAUGCGUAGAUAUCAGGAGGAACACCUGUGGUGUAGACAGCUUACUGGACCACGACUGACGCUGAGACACGAAAGCGUGGGUAGCAAACAGG
rnacentral:rRNA from 1 species